CUGCGCCGCGCUGCCUUACCGAUUCUUCCUCCUUCUCCAUCCCCGUGGGCAUCUGCGGCACGGCCCGGUUGAUGGAGACGCAGUCGUUGAGAGACUCACGGAAUAUUUAGGGUUGGAAGGGAGCUCUGGAAACCAUCCCGUGCAGCCAGGGUCACCUGAGGCAGCAAAUACAACUGCUGUUCGUGACAAACACAUGAUUUACAAAAUGAAGAAUAAAGAAUUGUGUCAGCUAGAGAAAGAGAGAGAGAGAAGGAAGAUGAAACAAGCACAGGAAUACACAGGAGGGAAACAGAAGCAGCAAGAACAUUGUGUUCAUCAAACACAGACACAAAUUAGCUUGGGAAAGAGAUCUGGAAAUUAUAUUAACUGCUGCUAUGAAAGCAUCAGGGCACUGCAAACACCCAGCUUCCAGAAGGCCAGGUCCUUGGGAAGAGGCAGGAUCCAUGGGGGAGCCAAUGCAGAGAAGAGCAGGAGCAGCUGGAACUUCAAAGAGAUCUGAACAGGUGCCCCAAACCAUGUGGGACCAUUCCUGUGGAACCUGCACAGACUUUUCCCAUAGGAAAAUCAGGGAAUGUCACAGGCGUGCUGGGAAUUUCUAACCCUGAAAUCCUAAAUAAUCCUGUGAGAUUACAAAAAAGGACUUUGGUGCUUCUGGCUACUCCAGGUAUAGGGAAAAAAUCUUCCAAGACAAAAGAAUGGCUGGGUUUGGUAAUGUUCCUGCAGGUACCUGGGUUGUGUCACUAAUUAAUCAUUCCUGGAAACAAAGGAGAAAUAAAG